AACGAACGCUGGCGGCAGGCCUAACACAUGCAAGUCGAGCGAGAUCUUCGGGUCUAGCGGCGGACGGGUGAGUAACGCGUGGGAAUAUGCCUCUAGGUACGGAAUAGCCUCGGGAAACUGGGAGUAAUACCGUAUGUGCUCUUUGGGGGAAAGAUUUAUCGCCUAGAGAUUAGCCCGCGUUGGAUUAGGUAGUUGGUGGGGUAAAAGCCUACCAAGGCGACGAUCCAUAGCUGGUCUGAGAGGAUGAUCAGCCGCACUGGGACUGAGACACGGCCCAGACUCCUACGGGAGGCAGCAGUGGGGAAUAUUAGACAAUGGGCGCAACCCUGAUCUAGCCAUGCCGCGUGAGUGAUGAAGGCCUUAGGGUUGUAAAGCUCUUUCAGCUGGGAUGAUAAUGACGGUACCAGCAGAAUAAGCUCCGGCUAACUCCGUG
rnacentral:rRNA from 1 species